rnacentral:rRNA from 1 species
CCUACGGGAGGCAGCAGUGGGGAAUAUUCCACAAUGGGGGAAACCCUGAUGCAGCAACGCAGCGUGAGUGAAGAAGUAUUUCGGUAUGUAAAGCGCUAUCAGCAGGGAAGAAGAUGACGGUACCUGAUUAAGAAGCGCCGGCUAAAUACGUGCCAGCAGCCGCGGUAAAACGUAGGGGGCAAGGCUUAUCCGGGUUUACUGGGUGUAAAGGGAGCGCAGACGGUAGUGCAUGACUGGAGGGAAAGCCCGGGGCCCAACCCCGGAACAGCUCUGGAAACUGUGCGGCUAGAGUACUGGAGGGGCAGGCGGAAUUCCUAGUGUAGCGGUGAAAUGCGUAGAUAUAAGGAAGAACACCAGUGGCGAAGGCAGCCUGCUGGACAGUAACUGACGUUGAGGCUCGAAAGCGUGGGGAGCAAACAGGAUUAGAUACCCCAGUAGUC